AUUCAGCAACACAGAUGUCCAGAAUACUGGGUAAUUAUGCGAUUAAAGCAGACGACUUAUAGCUGGGAUCGGUGCUAGACCAAAAUGUCCGCUACAAUCCGUGACAUCACGCGCACGCAUCAUCAUACCGCGACGUUUUCAGCAGGAUAAUUCGCGCGAAAUUUAAAAUUGCAAUUUAGUAAACUAAACUGGCCGUAUUGGCAUGUGUUGCAAUGUUAACAUCUCAUCAUUGAAAUAUAAACUAUCAGACUGCGUGGUCGGUAGUAGUGGGUUUCAGUAGGCCUUUAAGUCAAACAAUCUAAACAUGCCAUGUGGGUUACAUUGUGUCACUUAUUUCAAGUAAUCGAAGGAUGUCAUUUAGGAAACAUUGUGUCACCUAUUUCAUAUGAGACAUGUGAUCACUUCCAUGUGUGCUGACUAUGACUCACUUUGCUGCUGCUGACUUUGUGCUUAUAUAAGGACAACAAUUUAACACGCGGUCCAACAGUAGCUGCAGACCUCAUCAAAAAGUCCCCAUCACUUCCUGUUGCGCCCACGCUGUUUCUUCCAUGAAAAGCAGCAAAAUCCCCGCCAGCUUCUUCUAUGUGCUUCACUCCAUCUGCAGGUCAGCAGCGUGAGGUGAUUCAAACAUGCUGCGUAAUGCCAGGGAAUUACCCAAAGUUAUUUUUCAUCCUCCGUGUUUGCUCCAUGGAAGUUUGCUACAGUCAGACAGGAAGUGACAACACGUUCUCUUGGAAAGGAAAUGUUGUUUUUGGGGCGGCGGUGCCACAUUCCAAGUGGAGGUGAAAUGACUGGAACCUUUCAGGAAGUUCAUAACUUGCACUUUUUCUGACCUUUUAUUUACCCACCAAGAGAGAAUGAGAUGGAUAUCAGAAAGUUAUUCGCCCGCAGCAGAGAAGCAGCAGCAGGAACGAAAGAUGCAUGCUUACAUUCCUGUGGCAUAAAGAUCCGUGCACCCACGCCCCCAGUGCCACGCCUUUGCCGUGUCACCCCCGAGGU